GUCUUUUUAUCAAACAGCUUGUGUGCAGAGUUUCAAACAGAUAAAAAUCAAGCAAUUAACCGGCUUUCAACGAAGGAUGGCACUCAAAAUGAUCUUAGGAAAGGUUCUAGAUUAGAUUAAAAACGCAAGAAAAGUAAUUCAUGCUGCAACAAAUUGAAAUUGAAUGAUUUCACACAAUUUAGCAAACUGUUUGAUGAAAUGUCUCAAAGACAAACAGGAUUUUGAAUUUUUUUUCUGCAAUUGGUUAUCACUGUUUAAUAGGGGAUUGCGGGACUAUUCGCUUUUUAAAUUGAUUUGCAGGUUACAAUGACAGUAAAGAACGUUUCAAAAUGAUCCUAGCUUUUGCCAAUCCCAAACAAUCAAAUAAGACACCAAAUCUCAAUUUUUUUUUUUAAUGAGCAAACAAACUUAAAGCACUACUAUGCUGACUGGAACUCUACUUGAAUCAGUAACACAGCAGUAGAAUUGGCUAUUUUCCAGUUUCAGNAAGUUUUAAUGGUGCACAGGUUGGUGUCUAAGCAGUCAUACACGUUCAAAAUAGUACACAACAGAAUUUCACUAUGUCACUUCCAAGAAAAUGGUCAAAUGAGGUGUUUUAGGUAGUGAAACCAUGCAUAAUUGCAAAUCUGACCAUAUGAACAAUGAAUACUAAUUUUGAUUCAAUUAAUACAGGUGUUAGCUCAACAAAAUCAGUAAGAAACAGCUGAAUUAAUAUGAUGACUGCACUAGUUGAGAAAUUCAAGCAAAAUUAGGAAGUGGCAUGAUGAUUUUGUGCAUUAUUGGAAGAAUGAUCAUAAAAUCAGUUUGGACACACUUUAAAUGACCAAACGAAGUUGUCUAAAUGUGUUCAAUGCACAAAAUACUGCAGAUACUCAAAUUCACCACUUGAGUUGCCAAAUUAUGCAGAAACCAGUAUGAUGCAGCACAGUAAAACCAGUUUUUGUUGGAUGCAACGUGAACAGACCAGCAAUUGAUGAAAACAAUGAAUCCUAACUCAAGAUCUAGCUUUAGAAAAUUAAGCUAGUGGAUUUCAUAGGUCCUAUGAUAUAUGCAAGGAGAUGUAGCACGGUGCCAAGCUAUGAAACAGAACCAUGACAGAUUUUCCAGAUUUAUGGUGACUGUUUUUCUGUGAAGUUUUAGCAAAUCUGUGAUGGCUAAUUAUUUUGAAAAGGUUUAGAUCAUCAUCACACAGAUUAUUACAAUGUAUGCAGUCACAUAAACUGGAUCAAACGCUGCACUUGACACAGAAAAUCAGCACGACAAUUUUUUUCAUUUUUUUUUUUUGGAACAAAAAAAUGACGCUGCAGCAGUACUUACUGCUGCCAGAAAAUGUUUGGCACUGCCUUAUACUCAAAUGAUUAAAGCUGGAUAAAUUUCCAUUGCUUUUUCGAUCAACAUAGAAUUAGCUAGUGCUUUUCAAGUAAAAUUUCGAAAGACAAUGAAGCUGAACAGAAUCAAAGACUGUAUGACAGUGUAAAACAGCAAACAACUUGCACAUUACUCAGACAAAACUGGAAAUGAAAAUACAGUGAGAAUAGAACUCAAACAAGACAAAGCACCAAUUAAAAUGAUAACACUAGAAUCUAUUGAACUGUGAACGAAGCAAGCAUUCACUUAAACAGAAAAAUU
rnacentral:lncRNA from 1 species